UAUAUGUUUUCAGUUAAACCUCCAACAAAUCUAGCUUUGUGAUCUCUAAAUACAACACCAAUUGCGGCAGUUAAAGGGCUCCCUAAUGUUGAACCACCAAUGUAUGCUUUGAUCCAACUAGCAGCAGGUGGUUUCCAAAGAACUUCGACUAUCUUAUUGACAUAUUUAGGUUUUCCAGCUACUUUAAAUGCAUAAUCUCGAAAUCCUGCAUUAAAGAAAUCAUGUGACCAGAAUCUAACCUAUUACCUUGCUGCACUUCAUAAAUAACUAUGGGAUUGAAACUAUUUUGAAGCCUUAUAUUGUUCCUUAUAAUCCAUACAUACCAAAUUAGGUGAACUAUUGAAGACAAUAUUUGUCACAUGUUUGAGAGCUUGAUGACUUCUCAUCAUAUCAUAGCUUGAUGACUUCAUAAAGUUUUUAGAAGAUUUUGGAGAGUUACUCAUAGUUUUGGUAAAGUUCGGUCUUGUAACGAAAAUAGUCUUUAUCAGUCAUUUCAUAUCCCUAUCGACACAACUAUAUGUGUCAGUGUCUUUUUGGUGUUAUCGGUUAGGUUGAUCUAAUUAGACGAUGAUUGGUAGAGGUUGCGAAGGUAUUUGACUUAUCACAUUAAAGAAUUUAAGAUCAAAUUGUACUUGAGGAUAUUCUCUUUCAAGUCACAAGACAUAUCAUAGGAGAAACUGCUCGGAAUGCUAAAGAAUUAAUAGCAAAAAGGAGAAAAUUUUCACCAUUCACGAGGUGCAUGAUAUGACACUCAAAACCCAAAAAUAAAUAUUACAACUAUUAGUUCAAAAAUGGAGUUUGAUCCGCAAUAGAGAAUUUUAAAUAAAAACUUUUUCAAGAAUUAAAAAGGGCGCCCUCGCAAGUGGACAGUGAGAUUGAAGCACUCGAAUUAGUCGGUUCUUAAGCAAUAAACCGAGUUUUUUUUUAAAUAAAAAAAAAAUCCUUUCACAAGGUUCAGGAUACCACAUUGUCCCAUAAUAAAGCAUAAUUCACAUUUUACUUCAUUAAAAUUUAUAAUUAUAAUAGUAAUGACGUCAAAUCCUAUUUUUCUGAAAAUAAUUUCUUUUACAUCAUAGAUUAUGAUUUUCUUAUAUUAAACUAAAUUAAUAAGUUUAUCUCUUUUUGAAAAUCACUAUUUGAGUAGAGUUUUUCCCAAACUUUUUAAGAUUAUUGGUUUCUCCCAAAACACUGAGUAUUUUAAGGUGGAAAGAUUGAGUGCAAGUAUAUAUUGUCUAAGUUAUAGUAUAAAAAGAUAUUAAUCUCACAAGGACUGUGGAGCUAUAGCUUCCUAUAGUUUUUCAGUAGAAAACUUGUUUACAAAAAAUAAAAUAAAUCAUUUGUCACAAAAAUAAAAUAAAGUUAAAGUUUUGGGAAAACAGUUAAAAAGACUUAGAAAUUCUCAGAGUGAAAAGCGUGGUUUAAACAAAGAUUCAGUUAUGACAGAGUUUUACUACGAUCUACAGAGCUAUAGUUUUUUAUGACUUUCUGGCAACCUAAUGGCCACUAGGAGUAUAUCACAUCUCAGCCUUCAUGUUAAGCACAUGAAUACGUCCAAUCGGAGUGCAGUCACAUAAUCUUAACAUGCUAGGUUGCUAAGUUAGGUCAUCAACAUUUCCCACCGAAGUCUUAUUAUGUUUAGCUUUCCGCCUAAGACAAGAGUCCUAGUUAGAUCUCAACGAUUAAAAGGAUCCACCGUGAUCUGGUACUCGUGCAAAUUAGUCUCUCUUAUUCCUUUAACCUUUUAGUCAUAGGGACUAACUCAUAUCAAACAAACAUGUUUUGUUCCCUUAUCCAAUCGGUAUCAGGGAACUAUAACAUCAAAAGUAAAAGAGAUCAUGUUUUACUUUCAAAGAUUUUGAGUUAAAAUGGUUUAUUUGAAAGAAGCACGAAGCUAUAAUUUUAUUAAUUUUAAGCAAAGAAUAUCAUAACCCCGUCGUAUUUAAUCCACAAGAAGUGGUUUAGCUCAUGAUGAGCUAAACCUCGGAGAUGAAGGUGAAAUGAAAAAUAAAUGAAAACAUGAAAAGCUAAAUUGAGAGAUAAAAUAGAGUAUGUACAAGAUUACAAUCGUUGAAGGAAAGAGGUGAGCUAAAAGCACUCAUGCUCAUCUAUGGAGAAGAUGAGAUGGAGUGAGUGUAACGCCCACUUUCGUUUAAUCGUUAUUUAAUUGAGUUUAGGCAAUUAUAUUAUAAUUAUAUAGUAUAUGCAUGAUUUUGUUAUGUUUUGGUGAUUCACGAUGAAUUUAGCGAUUUGAUUGAUGACGUGAUAAGUUAUGAGUUUUGGAGGACUUGAUUAUGAUAUGAGAUUUAUUUUAUUGUUAAAUAAAAUAAAGAUUUGAAAAUAAUAUAAAAUAUUUAGUUGAGGACUGUUUUGAUAUUUUAGAAACUCAUUGUACGUGAAAACUUUUGAAAAAGGGAGAAAAGCUUAGAAGGGAGAAGAGCAUAGAGAGGGCUGCGAUUUCUUCAUAACCAGGUAAGGGUGAGACUAAUAACUCAGUAUUGUUAAUUGAAUGUGAUUCUGAUGAUUAGUUAACAAGAAUUAGGAGUGAAUUGGAGAAAACGAAAACUAGGUCAAAACCUUAGAAUUGAUGAUCAAACGGUGAGAAUUGGUUUAAUUAAUGUAGAAAGUGUUCCUAGACCUUAGAUAAUGUUUAGGACGAACUUUGGAAUCAAAAACAAGCUUAGAACCAUGUGAAACGUCGAGUUUUUUGGAAUUUAGGAAGUCUGGCCGUAGCGACAUUCAUCGCUCGCCACGGCGAGCUAUGAAUCUCGCCUCGCGAGUGAUGAACAUUCAUCGCUCGCCUCGCGAACCCUGUUUCCUCGCCUCGCGAGUUGUGCAAUGCAGCUCGCCAUAGCGAGCUAAGGCAGAGUGCAUGUUAGAUUUUGUGUUUCGACCUUUUUAGUUGGACCUUGAAUGCCUUAGUGUGCCUGAACAUACCUAGUAAUGAUUAGGAAUGAAUGUAGGGCAAGAUUAGACCCAGAACAACUUUAGUUUGGAAAUUGUUUAGUACUCGCCAUGGCGAGCAAGAACCCUCGCCUCGCGAGCACCUCCAGCCUUGAGUGUUGUGAGUGUUCGUGCGAUUUGUGUCGCACGUUUUGAUCAAGAGCGAACCCCCUUAUGAUAAUAAGACCUAAUGAUGACGUUAAAUGCAGUCUGUAAGCUGUUUAAGAUAUGUUGAUAUUGAUUGAGUAUGAUUAAGGUAUUGUAUAUUUAUGUAAGAUAUGGAAGUUUAAUUAUGAAAUAAUUGAUGUGCUAUUGAUAUAAUGAUAUCAUCCUGUUAUGUGACUUGAUUAUGCUGCUGCUGUUAUUUAACUAAGUGCAUUGUAUGUAUUUAUAUAUGAUGAAAUGAUGACGUUUAGCUCCAAAUUGUUGGAUGCAUGUUGAUAUGUUGAUUACGAUGUUUUGUUCAUAAGAGUCCAUGCAUAGCAUCUCAUUGAGCUUAGUCCUCACCACGUUUAUUAUGAGCUUUGUCCUCUGCACGAUUAUUAGGAGCUUUGUCCUCCGCACGAUUAAAGUAUAUUAAUACUUAUGAUGACGAUUGGUACCACAUGCAUAUAAGGAGUCUAAGAGCAUUGUCACAUUGUCAUGUCCAUAAUGCUAUGUUGUUGAUGACGGUUGAAUAAGUGAAUACGUGAUAUUGUUGAAUAUAUGAAUACGUGAUACUUGUUAUUUGAAUAUGCAAAGUUAUCCAAGAAUGAUUAUGAUGUUAAUGUUAAUUAUGAUUCGAAUUACUUUGAUUAGCAUUAUUUUGUUAUGAAAUCUCACCCCUUCUGCUUGAAAAUGUUGCCCUUCGUAUGGGUAACUUGCAGGUGAUCGUGCUUAGUGUGCAGUUGCUUCUGUGAGUGGCCUUGCCUCACUGUGUCGUCUAGGUCGCUCUGAUACGUAACGGGAUGGGGUUUAUGUUUAUGCAUGCUUCAUUCUCUUACGUGACUAAUAUGUUAUUUUUAUAAUUUUAUGGAUUCUGAUUAUGAACUUUUGAUGGGGCCUGCGUGCCAAAACGUUUUAUGAAUUAUGAUUAUGAUUUUCCGCUGCAAUGUUUAAGAUAUUGGUUAAAUUAUUAUUUAACUGUUUUGGAUUAUGUUUUAUGUGAUAUCCCGUUGUUUAUGAUGCUUACACUGAUAAAUGUUUUUAAGAAUUUUUAUGUUGGGAAAACGGGGUGUUAUAGUGAGAACUCUAGUGCUACUAACCCUAGCUUGAACUUGACUUCUCAAUUCACUAUGCAAAAUUUCGGUCCAUAGGCACUAACAUGUGAUUGACCUUUUAUAGCACAAGUCCAACCACUACAACUUGUACACUUUAGUCAUUUCCCCUAUGAGUUGUCCUUAUCUUAUCCUACCAACUUCAGGCAUAUUCUUUUUAUUCCUCGUACUCCAAUCAUUGGCGCCAGCUCAUAGAACUUAACCAUCAAGCAAUGGCAAGAAAGGUUCUCAUGGGUUCGUACUAUUGUACGACCCGGCUAGCGAUCCAGGACGCUGCAUCUUUCCAUAUCCUCAGUGAAGCAUCAUAAUCAAUGUUGUAGCUUCCCAAAUCUCCAGUUCUAAUCCUCACCUUGUUCCAGCAAACAUCCAAAACAAGUAUGGCUAGUUCAAAAUGAUUAAAUAACAAUAAAAACUAAUCAAAACUCUAAAAUCCUAAAUAGACACUGAUUAUAUGUUUUAGGUCAUGCAUUUACUCAAUUCCUCGUUCAUUAUGGGAGAUAAGUGCAACAUGAUAACCAACUAUUUUACUCGUUAUCAACUAUCAACCUCUAUUUAUUGCGAUUUUGCAAACCCAAGGCCAAAUAAGACAAACACAAAAAACAAAAGGGUGAGUUUUUAAAUAUAUUUAAUAGUAUAAAAUAUCUAAGAAGAACAUGCAAAAUCAUCAAGUAAGCACUAUAUCAUAUAUCAAAUCACAUUUACCAUAAAUAAGUAAGCAUAACUAACAUUGCUAAGAACUCACAAGACCCAACAAGUCUGUUGGAACAAAAUGUAUUUCACAAUGAACCUUAUUAAGUUUUGAUGAUAACAAGGUAUUAAAAAUUGUCAAUUGGUUUUUACUAAUAAUUGUUCAAGUGUACAGGACCAAAGGCUACUCAAGUUAUUUCAAUAGGUCUUGGAAGAACAAUGGAAAGAAAAAGAAAUUCUGAGCAUCUGAAGAAAACUGCUCCUGAAGCUGAAGUGCUUCUGAAGUGAUGACGUCAUCAGAAGCAGAAGGUCAUCAGAAGCAGAAGGUCAUCAGAAGCAAAAGUUUUCAUCAGAAGCAAUAUCUUCACCAGAAGCUACGUUUGAUCCUUUAAUCAAACUGAAGAUUCAAAGUAGCUGAUUCUCAAUUCAGUCUUUUCCAAGAAGAACGAAGAAUUGAAAGGGAGCUAUCAACGGAUAUAUGGAUAGCACUGAGCACUUGUCUCUCGUUAAUAGAGUUGACAAAGUACAAGUGUACAACCACUACCUCCACUACUCUGUUUUCUGUCUACGCUAUAAGACAAAACAACAGCCAUGCCUGCAGAAUUUGUACGUUCAAGAUGGGAAUGAAUUUGAAGCUUAUUCUUCAAAGGACUACACCCAAAUCAGGCAAAGGAUCACUGGUGGAUAAUCAAAGGAUUUCAAAUGACUCUUUAGACGUGCUGAUUAUCUCAACGUCUCUUUCACGCCUCUAUAUAAAGGAGUGAAGACUUGAAGAUUGCAGAGAGAGAUACAUAAGUUCAAAAGCGCCAAAACUCUGUCAAUUUGAUUCUACAAAGCACACUGAAUUUCUGCACUGAUUUGAUACAUCUUAGAAAUUCAUAGUCUAGAGUCUUUACUGUAUUGUUUUGUGAACACCACUGAUUGUAUAUCAAGUGUUCAACUCAAACUCAAUUCUCUGUAUUUUUGUUUGAUUAGAAGUCUCUUGCCUGCGUGCUUGAACAUUAGAAGUCUCUUGCUUAGUGCUUGAGCAUUGGAAGACUCUUGCGUGUGUGCUUGAGCAUUUUUGUGAAGUCUCAUACUUAGAAAGUAUUGAGCAGUUGUAAUCUUUGUGAUUAUAGUGAAAUCUCCUUGGAAGUGCAAGGGGGACUGGACUACUUCCGUGUUGUGGAAGGAACCAGGAUAACUGUUUGUGUCUUUGUCUUUCUUUUCUCUGCUCUGUUCUUUUCCGCUGCAAUCUGACUCUGAUCAUUUCAUCAGAAGCAAUCAAACUGCUUCUGAAGUUUUAUCAGAAGAAGUAUUUUUUAAGAGAAAAAGAAAACACAAUUCAACCCCCCCCCCCCCCCCCCUUCUUGUGUUUUUUCACCUUCAAUUGGUAUCAGAGCUUGCUCUGUUAUCACAACACUUAACCGUGUUACAGUUCAAGAUCUAUUAGAAAAACAUGUCUGGAGAUGAGGAAUCAGUUACUACAAAAUACACAAGUGUCAAGCAUGACUAUGAUACUGCUGACAAGAAAACAGACUCUGGAAAAGCUCCAAAGUUUAAUGGAGAUCCAGAAGAGUUUUCAUGGUGGAAAACAAAUAUGUACAGCUUUAUCAUGGGAUUGGAUGAAGAGCUAUGGGACAUACUGGAAGAUGGAGUUGAUGAUCUGGAUUUGGAUGAAGAAGGAGCUGCUAUAGAUAGAAGAAUACAUACUCCUGCUCAGAAGAAGCUUUAUAAGAAACACCACAAGAUAAGAGGAAUCAUUGUGGCUUCUAUACCUCGCACCGAAUACAUGAAGAUGAGUGACAAAUCUACUGCGAAGGCUAUGUUUGCUUCUCUAUGUGCAAACUUUGAAGGCAGCAAGAAGGUGAAAGAGGCUAAAGCUUUGAUGCUAGUUCAUCAGUAUGAACUUUUCAGAAUGAAGGAUGAUGAGAGUAUAGAAGAAAUGUACUCAAGAUUUCAAACUUUAGUUUCUGGAUUGCAAAUACUGAAGAAAAGCUAUGUUGUUUCUGAUCAUGUUAGUAAGAUUUUGAGAAGCUUACCUUCAAGAUGGAGACCCAAAGUAACUGCUAUUGAGGAAGCUAAGGAUCUAAAUACUUUAAGUGUUGAAGAUCUUGUUAGCUCACUCAAAGUGCACGAAAUGAGUUUAAAUGAGCAUGAAACCUCUAAGAAGAGUAAAUCCAUUGCUCUACCAUCUAAAGGAAAGACUUCAAAAUCUUCCAAAGCCUACAAAGCCAGUGAAUCUGAAGAAGAAUCACCUGAUGGAGAUUCUGAUGAAGAUCAAUCUGUAAAGAUGGCUAUGCUGUCCAACAAGCUUGAGUAUCUGGCAAGGAAGCAGAAGAAAUUUUUGAGCAAGAGAGGUAGCUACAAGAACUCCAAGAAAGAAGAUCAGAAGGGAUGCUUCAAUUGUAAGAAGCCUGGUCAUUUCAUUGCUGAUUGCCCUGAUCUUCAGAAGGAGAAGUUUAAAGGCAAAUCCAAGAAAUCAAGCUUCAACUCCAGUAAAUUCAGAAAGUAAAUCAAAAAGAGCUUGAUGGCGACCUGGGAAGAUUUGGAUAGUGAAUCUGGUUCUGAUAAAGAAGAAGCUGAUGAUGAUGCUAAGGCAGCCAUGGGGUUAGUGGCAACAGUAUCAUCAGAAGCAGUAUCAGAAGCUGAAUCAGAUUCAGAAGAUGAAAAUGAGGUAUAUUCCAAAAUCCCUAGACAAGAACUUGUUGAUAGCAGUAUCAGAAGCUGAAUCAGAUUCAGAAGAUGAAAAUGAGGUAUAUUCCAAAAUCCCUAGACAAGAACUUGUUGAUUCUCUAAAAGAACUUUUAUCACUGUUUGAACACAGAACCAAUGAGUUGACAGAUUUAAAAGAAAAAUAUGUUAAUUUGAUGAAACAACAAAAGACAACUCUAUUGGAACUGAAGGGUUUAACCUCAUAUCAACAACAUAUGAAGAUAGACUCAAGAUUCUUUGUCAGAAGCUACAAGAAAAAUGUGAUAAAGGUUCAGGCAAUAAACAUGAGAUUGCCCUGGAUGAUUUUAUUAUGGCUGGAAUAGACAGAAGCAAAGUUGCUUCUAUGAUCUACAGCACAUACAAGAACAAAGGCAAAGGGAUUGGAUAUUCUGAGGAGAAAUCCAAAGAAUACAGUCUCAAGAGCUACUGUGAUUGUAUCAAGGAUGGAUUGAGAUCCACCUUUGUGCCUGAAGGUACAAAUGUUGUAACUGCUGUUCAGUCAAAACCUGAAGCUUCUGGUUCACAGGCUAAGAUCACAUCAAAGCCAGAAAACCUUAAGUUCAAGGUUAUGACAAAAUCUGAUCCUAAGAGUCAAAAGAUUAAAAUUCUGAAAAGAUCAGAACCUGUUCAUCAGAAUCUGAUUAAACCAGAAUCUAAAAUCCCAAAACAAAAGGAUCAGAAGAACAAAGCAGCUACUGCUUCUGAGAAAACAAUACCAAAAGGUGUCAAACCUAAAGUAUUGAAUGAUCAGAAGCCACUCAGCAUUCACCCUAAGGUACAAGGGAUGAAAAGUAAAACCUCCAAAACUAACCCAAAAGGACCCAUGAAGAUAUGGGUACCUAAAUCUGAAUUGGCUAAAACUGCAGGUGUGCCUAAGGGCAAGAGAGAAACAAAGGUCAUGGUACCUAGACAGCGGAUGUUCAAGGCACAUGACUGGAGAGAAAGCUUUGUUCCUUACCCUUACAAUGAAAGAUGGAGGAGAAGUGAAGUUUGGUGGCAACCAAACUGGAAAGAUCAUUGGUACAUGUACUAUUGGUAAUUCCUCCAUCUCAAUUAAUAAUGUGUGGCUAGUAGAUGGUCUGAAGCAUAACCUAUUGAGCAUUAGUCAAUUUUGUGACAAUGGGUAUGAUGUAAUGUUCAGUAAGACCAACUGCACACUAGUCAACAAGGAUGACAAAUCCAUUACAUUCAAGGGAAAGAGAGUUGAGAAUGUCUAUAAAAUAAAUUUCUCUGAUCUGACUGAUCAGAAGGUAGUUUGCCUUCUGUCAAUGAAUGAUAAAAAAUGGGUAUGGCAUAAAAGGUUGGGACAUGCUAAUUGGAGAUUAAUUUCUAAAAUUAGCAAGUUACAACUGGUCAAAGGAUUGCCUAACAUUGAUUAUCAUUCAGAUGCACUUUGUGGUGCAUGUCAGAAAGGGAAAAUUGUGAAAAGUUCUUUCAAAUCUAAAGACAUUGUAUCAACCUCCAGACCCUUAGAAUUACUCCAUAUUGAUCUUUUUGGUCCAGUUAACACUGCAUCUUUAUAUGGAAGUAAAUAUGGAUUAGUCAUUGUUGAUGAUUACAGCAGAUGGACUUGGGUAAAAUUCAUUAAAAGUAAAGACUAUGCAUGUGAAGUGUUUAGCAGCUUCUGCACUCAAAUACAAUCUGAAAAAGAAUUGAAAAUUUUGAAAGUCAGAAGUGAUCAUGGUGGAGAAUUUGAAAAUGAGCCAUUUGAACUUUUUUGUGAAAAACAUGGGAUUCUCCAUGAAUUUUCUUCUCCUAGAACUCCACAACAAAAUGGGGUUGUAGAGAGAAAGAACAGAACCUUACAAGAAAUGGCCAGAACCAUGAUCCAUGAAAACAACUUAGCUAAACAUUUCUGGGCAGAAGCAGUUAAAACUUCAUGUUAUAUUCAAAAUAGGAUCUAUAUCAGACCUAUGUUGGAGAAAACAGCAUAUGAACUCUUUAAAUGAAGAAUACCCAACAUCUCUUACUUUCAUCAGUUUGGAUGUACUUGUUACAUCUUAAACACUAAAGACUAUCUGAAGAAAUUUGAUGUCAAGGCUCAAAGAGGAAUCUUUUUAGGUUACUCUGAAAGGUCAAAGGCGUACAGAGUGUAUAAUUCAGAAACACAUUGUGUUGAAGAAUCUAUGCAUGUAAAAUUUGAUGAUAGAGAGCCUGGAAGUAAAACUCCAGAGCAAAGUGAAAGUAAUGCAGGUACAACUGAUUCUGAAGAUGCAUCAGAACCUGAUCAACCUUCUGAUUCUGAAAAGUAUACAGAAGUUGAAUCUAGUCCAGAAGCUGGAAUCACUCCAGAAGCUGAGUCUAAUUCAGAAGCAGAACUUAGUCCAAUAGUACAGAAUGAAAGUGCUUCUGAGGAUUUUCAAGUUAACACUCAGCAGGUUAUUCAACCUAAAUUCAAGCACUAAUCUUCACAUCCUGAGGAGCUAAUCAUUGGAAGCAAAGAUAGUUCUAGAAGAACAAGAUCACAUUUUAGACAAGAAGAGUCAUUAAUAGGAUUGCUUUCAAUAAUUGAGCCUAAAACUGUUGAAGAAGCUCUCUCAGAUGAUGGAUGGAUAUUAGCUAUGCAAGAAGAGCUAAAUCAAUUCCAAAGGAAUGAUGUGUGGGAUCUGGUACCCAAACCUUUUCAGAAGAACAUUAUUGGAACAAAAUGGGUAUUCAGAAACAAGCUGAAUGAACAAGGAGAAGUAACCAGAAACAAAGCCAGACUUGUUGCUCAAGGCUACAGUCAACAAGAAGGCAUUGAUUACACUGAAACAUUUGCUCCAGUUGCAAGAUUGGAAGCAAUCAGGUUACUUCUAUCCUACGCAAUUAAUCAUAGCAUAAUAUUAUAUCAAAUGGAUGUCAAAAGUGCCUUUCUUAAUGGUGUCAUUGAAGAAGAAGUGUAUGUUAAACAACCUCUUGGGUUUGAGGAUCUUAAGCAUCCUGACCAUGUUUAUAAACUUAAGAAAUCACUAUAUGGCUUGAAACAAGCUCCCAGAGCUUGGUAUGAUAGACUAAGUAAUUUCUUAAUUAAAAAUGAUUUUGAAAGAGGACAAGUUGACACAACACUCUUCAGAAGGACUCUUAAGAAAAAUAUUUUGAUUGUGCAAAUAUAUGUUGAUGAUAUAAUAUUUGGUUCUACUAAUGCAUGUCUUUGCAAAGAAUUUUCUAAGUUAAUGCAGGAGGAAUUUGAAAUGAGUAUGAUGGGAGAAUUGAAGUUCUUUCUUGGAAUUCAAAUCAACCAAAGUAAAGAAGGAGUAUCUGUUCAUCAAACAAAAUAUACAAAGGAGCUUCUGAAGAAGUUCAAGCUAGAAGAUUGUAAAGUGAUGAACACUCCAAUGCAUCCAACCUGCACCUUAAGCAAAGAAGAUACUGGAACAGUAGUAGACCAGAAGCUAUACAGAGGUAUGAUUGGUUCUCUGUUAUACCUCGCUGCAUCUAGACCUGAUAUUUUAUUCAGUGUAUGCUUGUGUGCAAGAUUUCAAUCAGAUCCUAGAGAAUCUCAUUUAACUGCAGUUAAGAGAAUCUUCAGGUAUCUGAAAGGAACAACUAAUCUUGGACUCCUGUAUAGGAAAUCCCUAGAUUAUAAGUUGAUUGGAUUCUGUGAUGCUGAUUAUGCUGGUGACAGGAUUGAAAGAAAAUCAACCAGUGGAAAUUGUCAAUUCCUGGAAGAGAAUCUGAUAUCCUGGACAAGCAAAAGACAAGCAACUAUUGCUAUGUCUACAGCAGAAGCAGAAUACAUUUCAGCUGCAAGUUGUUGCACACAACUACUUUGGAUGAAACAUCAGUUGGAAGACUAUCAGAUUAAUGCUAACAGUAUUCCCAUUUAUUGUGAUAAUACUACUGCUAUUUGUUUGUCAAAGAAUCCAACUCUACAUUCAAGAGCCAAGCAUAUUGAAAUCAAACACCAUUUUAUCAGAGACUAUGUUCAAAAAGGGAUUUUAGAUAUACAAUUCAUUGAUACUGAACAUCAAUGGGCUGAUAUAUUUACAAAACCUUUAUCUGUUGAAAGAUUUGAUUUUAUUAAGAAAAAUUUGAACAUGCAUUUUGUGUCUGAUUGAAAAAUUGCUUGCCUCUGAAUAAGAAGUUUGGUUCUGAAGUUUAUUCAGAAGCAUCUGGUCCAUCAGAAGCUCUUAAUUGAGGUUCUGAGGAAAAUGUGCUUCCGAAGAUGACGUCAGCACUAAAACUUCAGAAGUGGUACUCUUUGCUUCUGAAUAGCAUGGUUAGUGGGAACGUUGGUAGUUACUUUAUGUAACAGCUGUCCCAUUACCCAAAAGGUAGUUUUCUGAAGAGUCUCUGACGUGGUCUAUUUGUAUUGGAGUAUAACAAAAAGGGCAAUGAUGUUUUAUUUGCUUUUUAACAUACUAACACGCGCCCCCAAUUUGUCAUUAAUGCUAUGUUUGUUUGUCUCCUCUGAAUUGUAAACGUUUUACUUAAAAACACUAAGUCAAUUCACACACUACUCACUUCACAACAAACACUUUCUAUUUUAUUCUCAACCCUCUGCGAAAGUAAGCGCAUUCACUCUUCCUCUCAAAACACCGUAGAACCCUAAAACUCCUUCAAAUCAAUGGAAAGCUCAAGUUCUGCUGGUGGUUCAUCAUCAAAUAUGGAAAUAGAUAUUCCGGCUUAUGAGAUUAAAGGAAGAACCAUGUCUAUUGAAGAAUGGGAGUUAAUCAUUCAAGCAGAAAAUUCAGUGGAUUUCGCCUCCUUAACUCACCAUGGAUGUGACUUAGUAAGGUUCUACAAGAAGCAAAAGCUGAUGAGUUACUUCAGUCUUCUCAAUGGUCCAACAUAUGAAGUUUUGGUCAGACAAUUCUGGGUAAGGGCUUCAAUCUUUGACAUUGAUGCUGCUAGACAGGAAGAAGCUCAAUUGAUUCUGGUUGAUCCUACUCUGAAGGGAAAAACCAGAGAAGAAAUGGGUCUACUCUCCUUCACCGGUACAGAGAUUAGAUCAAAUGUCAUGGGUAUUCCUGUAACCAUAAAUGAGCAGGUUAUUGCUCAAGCCAUGGGAAGGGAUACCUCUGGCAAAUACUUUGGAGAAGAGAUUCCUAAUCCAAGAACCAGCUCUUGGAAGGAAAUUGUCAAUGAGACCAUCUAUGGGUCUAAGGUUGCUCAACCUUACAGCACUUUGAGCAUUCAGAAGAAGUUGCUGCUGAAGAUUCAGAAUGAGAACAUCUUUCCCAAAGGUGGAGGAAGUGAUCAACCUUCACUUGGACACAAGGUUUUUCUGCAUCACACCAUCACUCAAGAAACCACGAUGAAUGUUCUCAAGUACAUGUUCAAAUACAUGAUCAAGGAACUAAAGAAGAGUCAGAUGGAGAACAGGAAGUUUGUUCCUUAUGGAAGGUUGCUCUCUGUAAUCUUUCAAGAAGGAGGAAUUCUAAGUGCCUUGAAGGAUGUGGGCAUCUAUGAUAACCAGAAGCUGGGAGCAGUAACUGGGAAGAUAAUCAAUGCAUCAACACUUGUGAAGAUGAAAUUGAUUCCAGCAAAUGCUCACAAGAAACUAGAUUCUGAUAUGCAUGAAUCUGAUGCAAUAUCUGAUCUAGUCACUCAUCACAUCCCUAUCUGCAAGAAGGAUCCCCUGGAUGUGCAAAGGGCCUACAUCUUGGACUUCUACAAAACUUACAAGAAGAAGAUCAGCUUGAAAGAUGUCCCUGAAGAGAUGUAUGGUGGUGAUCUGCCUGUGGCCAAAGGCAGAAAGUCUAAGAAGAAGCAGAUCACCAAGGAAGAAUAUCUUGCUGAAGAUGCUACUGAGAAGGGUGCUCAGAAGCAUCAGAAAGCUAAGAAGGAAAAAUCAACUUUGUCCACUAUUCAAGAGGAAGUGGAGAACCUAGAUGAAGUCCCAAUCAUCAGAAAAAGGACAAGGAAUGCUCAAGAAACAGCAGAACAGCUUGCUUCUGAACAACCUGCAUCUGAAGAGCCUCAGAGUCCUAAAAAGAAAAGAGAAGCUGCUCUUCAAACCAUCAAAAGGAAGAGAUCUUCAAGGAAUCUGAAGACAGCUGAAGGACGAAGGGAGGAAAUGUUGGAAGAACUGGAAGAAAACUGGGAUGAAGACUCAAGCCCCAAGAAGGCAAAAAGGACUAUAACUUCUGAGACUAUAGUCAUGCCCAGUUUUGAAGCUUCUGAGGAAUUAAAGCAAUAUGCUAGGGAGUAUUCUGCAUCCAAGAUAGCAGAAAGGAAAAGGAUGAAGGAAUUGUAUGAAAAGGAAAGGGAUGAGCGUCUCAAGGCUGCAGGGUAUGUGCCUACUCCUGUCAUUGCUGCUUUAGCAUCUGAGUUAGAGCAAGAAACAGUUCAGUAUGGAGCAACUCUGCUUUCUCAAGCCUUGAAGAAUAAGCAAGCUUCAGGAGCUACUUCAUCAGAACCAGUUUCAAAAGCUCCAGAAGCAGUUCAUCCAGAAGCUCAAUCUUCAGGUAAUUCAUCCAAACCUGACAUCUAUACUCAGAUUCCUUCUCUACCCUCUUCACCCUCUUCAUCAUUAACAGAAUCAGAUGACCAACCCCUUAGCCAACACAUAGACAAACUUCUAAAAACCAAACCUACCAAACUAACAGAAUUUGGAACACUUGACUAUGAGCAAACUCAAAUAGAAUUUUCUAAAAAUAGGAUUAAACUAUGUGAGAAAUUCAAUUUGCCUACUACUCAUCCACUUUAUCCAGAUAUUCCAGAACCUGUUAGUGUACAACAACCUGAACCUAACCAAACUCCACAAAGAGCCUCUGAAGUAGUUUCAGAAGCAACUACUUCAGAAAUCCCCCAACAACAAGAAUCCUCAACCCUUCACAAUCUAGAAAAACACUUAGGUUGUGAAAUGCAACCUACACCUACAAAGGCCUCUAAGACAGUCCCUGGAAAGACUGUGUUAGAAAACCAACAAACAGAAACCAUCCCUGAGCAAACUGUUCCUGAGCAAACUGUUCCUGAACAAACUGUUCCUGAACAAGAUGCUUCUGAACAAGUUGCUUCUGAACAACAACAAACAUCUUCUGACCAUCAAACAACAGAACCAUCAAUAAUUGACCUAACCUCUUCUGACCAACAAACAGCCUCUGACCAACCCUCCACAUCUCAUACAACUCAAUCUGAACCUUCAACCAUCCCUGACUCUAUCCUUGAAUCUGAGUAUAUAGAUGAACAGUUAAUCAGGCUUAGUGAUGAGAUUCAGACACUGAUUCUUCGCAGAACAGUUCAUGUACCUCCUAUUCACUAUCUUGAUCAGUGGAUGGAUCUGAAAAAUAGUUUUGAUGACCUGCUGGAUCAGCUAAGCUCUAAGUGUGUCUCAUCUCACUCUGCCAUGCUGCAAAAGAUGUUGGAUGAUAUGCAUGAAGCAGCUAAAGUGAAAGAGCUGAAUUAUGUGCCUCUGCUGGACAUCACUCCUUUCUACCCAGAAGAAUAGUACAUCACAAGGGCUGCAAGAAUUCAUGCUGGGUAUAAAAGAAGAAUAAGGGAAAAGGAUGAGCUACUCAAGAAGAAGGAUGAGCAAAUUAAGUAUCUUUUGGAACAGAUGUACAAGCAAGUCCAACCUUAGUUGCACACCCAUUUAUUCUUUGCUUGUUUUAAUCUUUGUUCUAAGUACUUUAGUUGCACUGCAUUUGUAUCUCAACUUUUCUAUAUAUAUAUAUAUAUUAUCAUUGUUUCUGGAUCUUGUGCUUUUUCACCUUCAAUAUGUUUUACAAGCUUUAACUCUGAUGAUAUUUACUGUUUUUAAUGCUGCUUGCUCUGAAAUACUAUUUUUAAAGGUUAUAUGGUUAUUCUUUUGUUUUGUUUUGCUCUGAUACUCUUUCUUUUGUUUUUAUUCUUUUUGUUAAUGACAAAAGGGGGAAUAAAUGUAUAGUAUUUUAAGGCACUGAGCCCCACUAUAACCACUUCUAAAUUUUUUUAAAUACUUCUGAUAUUAUUUUUAUGAGUAUUUUAUUGAAAUUUAAUUAAUAAGAAUAGAACUCAGGGGGAGCUUACAAACCUCUAUCCCAGUGGUCAACUUAUUAAUUAGAUCAACCACAAUUGAACAUUUUAAAUACUAUUGUUUGUCAUCAUCAAAAAGGGGGAGAUUGUUGGAACAAAAUGUAUUUCACAAUGAACCUUAUUAAGUUUUGAUGAUAACAAGGUAUUAAAAAUUGUCAAUUGGUUUUUACUAAUAAUUGUUCAAGUGUACAGGACCAAAGGCUACUCAAGUUAUUUCAAUAGGUCUUGGAAGAACAAUGGAAAGAAAAAGAAAUUCUGAGCAUCUGAAGAAAACUGCUCCUGAAGCUGAAGUGCUUCUGAAGUGAUGACGUCAUCAGAAGCAGAAGGUCAUCAGAAGCAAAAGUUUUCAUCAGAAGCAAUAUCUUCACCAGAAGCUACGUUUGAUCCUUUAAUCAAACUGAAGAUUCAAAGUAGCUGAUUCUCAAUUCAGUCUUUUCCAAGAAGAACGAAGAAUUGAAAGGGAGCUAUCAACGGAUAUAUGGAUAGCACUGAGCACUUGUCUCUCGUUAAUAGAGUUGACAAAGUACAAGUGUACAACCACUACCUCCACUACUCUUUUUUCUGUCUACGCUACAAGACAAAACAACAGCCAUGCCUGCAGAAUUUGUACGUUCAAGAUGAGAAUGAAUUUGAAGCUUAUUCUUCAAAGGACUACACCCAAACCAGGCAAAGGAUCACUGGUGGAUAAUCAAAGGAUUUCAAACGACUCUUUAGACGUGCUGAUUAUCUCAACGUCUCUUUCACGCCUCUAUAUAAAGGAGUGAAGACUUGAAGAUUGCAGAGAGAGAUACAUAAGUUCAAAAGCGCCAAAACUCUGUCAAUUUGAUUCUACAAAGCACACUGAAUUUCUGCACUGAUUUGAUACAUCUUAGAAAUUCAUAGUCUAGAGUCUUUACUGUAUUGUUUUGUGAACACCACUGAUUGUAUAUCAAGUGUUCAACUCAAACUCAAUUCUCUGUAUUUUUGUUUGAUUAGAAGUCUCUUGCCUGCGUGCUUGAGCAUUAGAAGUCUCUUGCUUAGUGCUUGAGCAUUGGAAGACUCUUGCGUGUGUGCUUGAGCAUUUUUGUGAAGUCUCAUACUUAGAAAGUAUUGAGCAGUUGUAAUCUUUGUGAUUAUAGUGAAAUCUCCUUGGAAGUGCAAGGGGGACUGGACUACUUCCGUGUUGUGGAAGGAACCAGGAUAACUGCUUGUGUCUUUGUCUUUCUUUUCUCUGCUCUGUUCUUUUCCGCUGCAAUCUGACUCUGAUCAUUUCAUCAGAAGCAAUCAAACUGCUUCUGAAGUUUUAUCAGAAUAAGUAUUUUUUAAGAGAAAAAGAAAACACAAUUCAACCCCCCCCCCCCCCCCCCCUUCUUGUGUUUUUUCACCUUCAAAGUCAAGUUACAUUUCAAGGAUUAUAUACAUGCUCUUAGACUCUAAACUUCUCUUCGCUCCUUAUUACUAUUCUACUCUAAAGUAUUAAAUUACUAGAUUAUAAUAGUGUCAACGACUCUAGAAUCUAACGUCACUCUGCAAAGGGUUGUGCUUCUCUCAAGUGAUAUUUCCAUACAUAGUCUAUGGUCCAGUAUGGGUGUACUUCUCUCAAGUAAUAAUGAAUUAUGUAAUACUUCUCUCAAGUGAUAGUGUAUUAUACCCUAUAACACAAUUUAAGUGACCUUCUCUCUAGUGAUAUUGCAUCAUAUGGUUGUUUCUCUCUAGUGAUAUUGUGUCACUUCCGGUAUGCUUCUUCUUUCUAGUGAUAUUGCAGUAUACCAAGCAUAUGGAUCAAAUACUUCCCAACUGCGGGUGUGCUUCUCUAACAUCAUUUAGACUUGUCAGACUCUAUUUCGAUGAUGACAAAAUAAUCUCAUCUCAAGACUCCUAACAUCCAAUCCCUCCCUUCAUUGGCAUAGGAUACUCCUUAGGAGUACAAUCUACAACACAAGUUGGUACUAUAAUUGUUUCAUCGUCUAAUGUGGUAAUUGUCGAUCUACACAUAGGCGCAUUAUAUAGUAACAUCAAUGUUUUACAAAAAAAAAUUGACAAGCUAUAUCAAUAUAUGAAUUUACAUUUCAUAACACCAAGUAUAUCAAGCAUCUCAUAUUCAAAUAUUUAAACAUUAUCAAAUACAUAGUGGCAUGCACAAUUUCAAUCAACAAAAUCAAGUGAGUCAAGUAAUCAUAACAAUCCAAUAGCAACAUAGCAACUAAUUCACAACAACACCAAUUACACAUGAUAUAAAUCAAUCAAGAACUUAAUAUGUUUUCAAUCUUAUUUUAUCUCACAAUUCCAUAUUUGCACAUAUGUCUUAAUUGCAUUUUUGACCCCUUAACUAAUUAAAAUACAAAACAACUCCCCUAUGUAUUGAAUCUUUGGCAGUUUUGGCCCCCAAGGCCACUUUCGACUUAGUCUUGGCUGACGUGGCACCCACAUCCCUUAAGUGAGGUGCCACGUGUCGACCAUUGUGGGUGCCACGUCAACGAAGACUAAGUCAAAAGUGGCAUUGAGAGCCAAAACUGCCAAAGAUUCAAUACAUAGAGGGGCUGUUUUGUAUUUUAAUUAGUUAGAGGGUCAAAAUCGCAACUUUUGAAAAGAUAGAGGAUCAAAAAUGCAAUUAAGCCAUAUAUAUAUAUAUAUAUAUAUAUUAGAUCAAACACCUUUUACAUGGACCAUAAAAAUUCAUUUUCAUUUUUUUUUUUUUUUUAAGGAAAAUUCAUUUUCAUUGUUCACAAUUAAGUAAUUUUAUUUGUCCACCUAUGAAAAGUGAUUGAUACCCAACAAACGAUAGCCACAAAUGAAUGGGUUAAAAAGUGUCGAAGCAAACAUAUGUUAAUUGGAAGUGUAUGUAUAGGUGGCGCAGUGAGGAGCGACAUAAUCGCUAACUAAAAAAAAACAUGGGUUUUGUUGGAGCAGCGAGUAGCACAUCUUCAUUGCUGCACUCUCCGCUUCUAUACCCAUUUCUCUUCCCUUCUUCUUCUUCUUCCUCUUCUUGUCGUCUCCAUAGAACCACCACCAAGCAGCUCCGGCCUCCCGUUGUGGUAUGUUGCUCUCGUCACCAGCAAGAUCCAAUAUGCAACAAGAGAACGUUUCUGUUAAUGGGUGUUGCUGUUCUUCCCUUUCUUAAAUUCAACACUGCCGACGCCGCUGUUGAAGGAAUUCUUUCAUCACCAAGUAUGUUUGUUAUUACAUUAUUACUCUCAUUGUUUUAUUUGUUAUUUAUGGACCAAUAAAAUCAUUAUUAUUAUUAUUAUUAUGACAUUAUCUUGUUUUGUGUGGGGGGAUACAUGAAUGUUUUCGUCGAUGACGGUCUUAGAAUACGUGGUUGGGCCUAAUACAAUCUCACAAGUGAGAACUGCCCCCCUCCUAUAAACACGUGCUCAGGUCAUCUCUCAUCCAACGAGAGACUUUUAACAUAGGGAGAGUCUAUCUUGUUUAAGGUCUAGGAUAAAGUACUUAUUUCCCCGAUGAUAAUUUAUUAUUAUGACAUUGGUACAUAUGAAAUGUUAGUUAUAAGAAAAUAUGUGGUGUGUUUUUUUGUCGCAAUUACGAGAAAAUAGACACUUUUUUGUUGGUGUUUCAAGUGUGGUUAAAAGUCUUGCAUUCGAUGAAAAAAUAAUGUAUAAGUGGGUGACAGGUAUGAAGAUGUGGUGUCCAACUCACAUGUGUGGUUGCUCUUACCUCGAUGUAAUUUGAACCUCCAAUGUUUUAAGGCUCCCAUUAAAUUCCAACAAUAUCAACUACAUUAAUUGUUAGAAUUGUUUUUAUACCGGUAUGUAAUGUGAGAUAUAUGUUUACUAGAAAAUCACAUAUUGUGUAUCAAAUAUUUGAAAGUUUAAUGAAGGUGCAUUGUUGGUGUAAAACUAUUUUGCACCAAUGACAAUUCAACUUAUUGUCACAUAAGUUCGUUUUAAAACUGUAUUUUAAAGAUAAAUUGAUUCUUAUUUGUUGUUAAUGUAAAAUUAGUUUACACCGACUGUGCAUACCCCCUUUUCUCAAUAGUUAAUGUUAAGGGUAUAUUUGGGGUAAGAUUUCAGUUUUAGGCAUUAAAUAAGCGCCUUGGUCUCGGUGAUUUUUAUAAUUUAUCGCCUAAGAAGCAUGACACUCAUAGGUUCAGGGGUACCAGCAUGGCCGGCCUACGUUGGUAUGGGUUGGACAUUGACAAUCUUACGACAUGUGUCAGACACUUCAAUAACUCUUUCUUGGCUUCAACACUCCUCUGAUACUUUACUUAGGCAUUCAAAAUAUCCUUUAAAAGUGUUACAAAAUAGUAUUUUAGUUAGGCUUUCAAAAUAUCCCGCAUAUAGAAGUCCUAGUCUUCUUUGCUUUUCAUCUUUCUUUCCCAAUUUCCCAUUUUCGAUUCUCCAUUUCCAGUCUCAUAAUUCGCCUCUUUUUCAGUCUUCAUCUUCAUUUCAUCCCGUGUUCGUAGACAACGUUUCCCUUCUUCUCGGGACUCUGUUCGCAGUCGACGUAUCCGCUCUAUUCGCAGACGACGUAUGCUUUCCGACAAUGUCUCAAUGCCUCUCUUUAGUCCCGAUGUCUCCCUCUCUGACGUUGUCUCGUCGUCUGUAUCUUCAUCAGCAUCCACAAAUCCAGGUACCUCUUUGAUUGGUUGCAUGGUGAUUUCAGUAGUAGUUUCAUGAUGUCUUAGUUUGAAACUUACUCUGCAGUAGAUUUUGUGCUUACUGUAUAUUUGUCAACAUUUUAAAAUGUAAAAAUUAGCAUCUGUGUGGUGUGUUUUUAAAAUAUUUUGUGGUAAUCUUGAUUCUCAAUUUAGAUACGUAUAAAUGAUGUUCAUAUUUGAUUUGAUCUAAUUAUAAUAAACAUAGAUAUAGACGUGUCGGUGUCCUAUAUAUUGGACAUUAGUGGUGUCUCCGCGUCUGUCUCGUGUAGGAUCUUUGUGUUUGUGUCCGUGCUUCAUAGUUUAAUGCAAACUAAGUCAUGUGUACCCAAUGGAUUUUUCCCAGUGGAAGCAUGCUAAUUCCGCAAGUGAGGAGAUUGUGCACAGGGUUUCUCCUUACUAGGAGUUACUUGGUUCGAUCUUUUGUGAAAAUAAAUCCUCUGGAGAGGGGUCUUACUCUUGUUGCUUUAUCAGUCUCAAAUGGACAGGUGAAAUUGCUAUUUAUAGCAAACGAAACUAAUUAGUAUUAGUCUUUAUAGCGGACUGGCUUCUUUGAGUGAUACUCCGUCACUGUGGUGCUCGGUAGAAAAUUUUAAAAAUAAAAAAUUGUACUCGAUGCAUGCCUUACCCAAAUAUUUGUUCGAUUGAAUGCAAUGCACUGUUUCAAAAUUUGAGACGAAUUGAAAGUAUUUUUAACUUAAUAGAUUGAUUUUGAUGGCCAUUUUUAAAUUCUCAUACAAUUAUUUAUAAAAACAAUACACCUCAUCCAAUAAUUGUGUUGCAUGGGCAGUUUGGGCAGAAAGGUCUUCUUUUGCUAUUCUUUAUGAGUUUUUUCCGAUUUUGCAAAAAAAAAAAAAAAAACUAAUGAUAAUCAGAAUUUUUCAGAGUUUCACAUUGGAUGAGAUAUAACAUGAAAAAUUGUUUAUAAGUGGGAAGCAUCCCUCACCUUGUAAGCCAGUUUUGUAUGGUUGAGUUAGGUACAACCCAAAUUUGAAGGUGGUAUCAAAGUUUAUCCAAGAUCCGUUGGGCUACCAACCAUCAGACCACUUGGGUCACGCUCUAAAUGUUCAAUCCUGAGGUGAAGGAUUGUGUAAAAGUGUGUUAAUAGUCUCUAGUUGGACGAGAUAUGACCUGGAAAAAAAGGUGGUCGGCAUCUCUCAUCUUACAAUCCGGUUUUGUAAGAUUGAGUUACGCACAACCCAAAUUAUAAAACGUUCCAUGUGAUGUUUUGGACAACUUAACUACCAUACUCUAUGUUGGUGGUUGGCAUUCGUAGAGAACGAAAUGAGAAGAAUAUGGAAUAAAUGUUCUCUCUCUCUCUCUCUCAUUAAAAUUAUUCAGCUAAAAAGUUCAUAACUAGUUUCCCUACCAAUGCAAAAUAGGUUUCAACUUCUGAAUAUAAUUCUUUUCUUCCUUCUUUAUAUUAUGAGUCUAGAACUUUUAUUAUUUUCUUCAAGGAUGUAAAUAUAUGGAUACUUAACUUCCUUUAGUUAAUUAACUAUCAAAGCAUCAACCUUUCCCUUGCUGUUUUUCUACUUUGUUAUUGUGAUUUGUGGUAUUUUGCAAUAUACUUUUAAAGCUCCAUUAAUAUGUCAAAAGGAGAUCUGCAUGUUAUCCUUUCUUGAAUCAUGACUGUGUAUGUAUAUGCAUGCAUUGUUUUGGCCCUUGCUUUGUUAGAGUGUCUGCGUCCUUAAUCUCGUGAUGUGGACUAUGAUUCGCUUUUAUUUUCAACUGUUCAUUGAAGUAUCACUUGGUUCUUUGUUUUAGUAACUUGUGUAAUUAUCCAUUCUCCUUACAGAAGAAAGUGAGGUGAAGAUACCGGAGGAUAAAAAGCUAGGCGAGGUUUGUUUUCUGUUAAAUUCAGAUACAAACGUUGAAUAUUAAUUUGUGCCUAUUGUUUUGUCCUUUGGAUGUUUACGUAUUCUAAACUUAUUGCUUCUAUGGACAGGCAGCACCUGAAAUGGAGAAACCAUCUACUUCCUUUGUGUCUCUUCUGAAUGGAAUUGGAAUCAUAUCUUCUGGUCUGUUGGGGGCUCUCUAUGCACUCGCUCAGAAAGAAAAGUUGGCUGCUGUUGCAACAAUAGAAACAGUAAGGUUCUAUGCACUUUAACUAUGAUUUUAGAAACCGGUAAGACAUGUAUGGCCUUUGAGGAAUGUCUCUCUUCUAAGUUAUGUAGCACUGGCAUUUCAGAUUGACGGUGUGUCUAAGUGUCCGGCAUGUAUUGGUGCCCAAGACUUGUAUGACCUGACACUAACCCAUGUUAUUACAUUCAAUCUUUUCAAUUUCUCAAAUCCUUGUCUCGGUGUUGGUCUUCUGUUCGGUGUAUGUGUCUGUUUCAGUGCUUCAUAACUUUUAAGUAAAGUCAUAGUUUAAAGAGGAAAGUGAGGGAUUACUCUUCUCUUUUUGAUGUUUCUAGAGGAACGACAAUGAUUGAUCUCUUUCCAUCUAGAUUUUUUUUAAAUGGUUAAUUUUCAAAGGAGUAUUUUCUUUUUAGUAUGUGUUAGUCAUAUUUUACUGGCUAAUGUGCACAGAUGAGCAACAAACUGAAGGAAAAAGAAGAGCAGUUCGUUUCAUUGUGGAAGAACUACGAGUUGAAGUUAUCGAACGAGCAGGAGGAACGAGCCAAACUACUUGGAAAGGCAAAGGAAGAGCAGAAAGCUCUGAUCGAACAACUAAAUUCUGCAAAGAGUACUGUCACCAGUUUGGGAAAGGAGCUAAAAAGCGAGAAAAGUUUGAUUGCAGAGCUAAAACUUCAAAUUGACAGACUUGAAAUCGAUCUUACAAAGGCCGAUACGGAUAAGAAAGAUCUUGAAAACAAAUUGAAAGAAAAGGUAGAUUCUAUUGAAAUUUUACAAAAAAGAAUUAAUCUGCUUAGUGAAGACCUCAAGGACAAAGAACAUGUUGUUCAGAGUCUGAAUUCAUCUCUUGCAGAAAAGGAGUUGGAAUUGAGGAAUUUGAACUCUACCUAUGACCAAACCAAAGAUGAAUUAUCCAAUGCUCAUUUGCAUGUUCAAGGGUUAAAAGAUGAAAUACUGAAAAGCCAAGAGGAACUAGAAGGAAAAGAUUCCUUGGUGAUGGAACUAAAUUCAAGAGUGAGUUCCUUAAAUCUUGAGAAUAAUAACUUAAGGAGUGAAUAUGAUGUAUUGGAGAAGGAAUUCAAUGACCAAAAGUUGACGUCUGAAAAGAAGGCCGCUUUGGAUGCUAAGGUUUUGAAAGAAAAAGAAGACGAGCUUCAUCAGCUAACAGAUAAAUUUGAACUCGCCUUAAAUGAAUCAAGCGAAAACCAGGUUGUCAUCGCUGAUUUAACCAAAGAACGAGAAGGUUUAAAAGAGUUACUAGAGAAUGAAUCAAAGAAAGUGAGUAAUUUGAAGUAUGAACUCCAAGUUACUCAAGAGAAUCUUGAAAAUUCAAGAAAUGACUCUGCUGAACUGGAAAAACAGCUAAAUAAGUCAAACAAUCUGUGCAAAGAUCUUGAGCUUCAAGUCUCUAAGCUUUCAUCUGAGCUCGCCGAAGUUAAGGAGUUGCUACAGCGUAGACUUGAUGAUACAAAACUUGAGGCGGAAAAAUUAACUACGGAGCUUAUAACAGUAAAGGAACAUUUGAAGAAAGCCGAAGAAGAGCUGCAAAGUACCUCUCAUGAACUAACGACUACACUUGAAACCCGCGAUGGCCUACAAAAAGAAUUAAUUGAGAUCUACAAAAAGGCUGAAGUCACAUCAGAGGUUUUGAAGGAAGAAAAGAAGCUAGCUGCUUCUUUGAAUAACGAUUUACAGGCUUUGAAGGAGCAAGUAUUGAAGGACAAGGAGUCGCGGAGAACUAUUGAAAUGGAUCUCGAGGAGGCUACCAAAUCACUAGAUGAAAUGAAUCGAAAUUCUGUGAUCCUUUCUAGUGAACUAGAAGAGGCUAAAUCACUUAUUUCUAGCCUUGAAAAUGAGAAAGAGGUUCUUGCCAAGUACCUUACAGAACAAAGAAAUGCAAGCAAAGAGGCCCAAGAAAACAUUGAAGAUGCUCAUAACCUCAUUACUAGACUUGGCAAAGAGAGAGAGAGUUUAGAGAGCAGAGGGAAGAAAUUGGAAGAGGAAUUGGCUUCUGCCAAGGGUGAAAUAUUGCGGUUGAGAAGUCAGAUCAGUUCUUCGAAAUCAAAAGUUGUUAAAAAUGAGCAACAAGUACAGAAAAAUGAAGCUGAAACCAAUUCUUCAAAAUCAAAAGUCGUUAACAAUGAGCAGCAAGUACAAAAAAAUGAAGCUGAAACCAAUUCUUCAAAAUCAAAAGUUGUUAACAAUGAGCAGCAAGUACAGAAAAAUGAAGCCGAAACCAAAGAAGUUGUCGUAAGUGCACGGAAGAACGUUCGAAGAAGAAAGACUAAUCCUUCAUAACAGAGAAAAAAUCGAGUUUUGUAUUCGAAAAUAAAAUUGGAAGUUGAUAUUGUUACACUUUAUUCACUUUGGAUAAGUUUUCAUGUUGCAAUAGUAUUGUACAAAUGAAAUAACACAGUAGGAAGUGCUGAGCUAUACUUUUAGGACUGUUGAUUUGUAAUAAUUUUCAUAAUGGCCUGAGGAAAAAAAGAAUGAGAAUGCUUGGUUGUUUUUUGACAGUGAAUACUGUUUGAUAUUCCUUGUCUCUCAACAAAAUCAUCAUGCAACUAGGUUAGAGCAUCCAGCAAAUUACAUGCAUGUGAUGAAAAUAAUUCGCAUUAGCGUGAAUGUAAUAUGAUCCAAAAGCAUUAUAUUUUUACUCAAUAAAAAACAAACAAAUUAUAUGUAGUUGGUAGGGAUAUUGCAUAUUAUAUGCAGGGGUCGGGGUUCGAACCUCGGACACUUCACUUCUCUGCAAUUUAAUUGUGUGAGCUCUAGCCAUUAGGCUAUUUGACAACAAAAAAAAUUAAAAAUACUCUACAUUUGCCCCUUUUUAUAAGCUCCAUUUUACACUACAAAAUGGACUGAUUAGGGAGAAAGGUAUAACUUGUAUGGUAAAUCUCUAAAGUACUAUCAAAAUUCUAUCAGGUCACUUGACAUGGAUGCUAGAGUUUUGUGCUUAUCAUACAUUAAUUGAAAGUCCAAGCAAUUUGAUCUCCUUUUUAAUUUGGGGAUAAGAAAUAUUAGUAAAUUAUUUUCUUUUUCGUUCAAGUUUGAACGCAAGACCUUUAACUUCUUCCCCUUUAUCUUUAAUUUAAAUCAGUUGAGCUAUCCAACCUCCAAACAAUUUGAUCUCUUAAAUUUGUAAAUAGUAAUUUAUUCUCUUAAAAAUGAAGUGCGAAAAUCAAUUUUGUCCCUCCAUCAAAACACUUUUUUUUAAAAAUAUCCAUCAAAACCAAUUAAAAAAACACAUUGUCUUAAUGGUGCUAAAUUCAAAGAAAAAAAGAUUAAAUUGACUGAUACUUUAUAAUUUAAUUCUCAUCUCACAAUUUUGAGGGAUUAAAUUGUCGAGCCCAUGCAAUUUCAAUAAAAAAAAUUUAUAUAUAUAAUUUGAUCUCUUAUAUUAUAGAAAAACAAAAACGGGUACCUUUUUCUCUACCGUCAUCCUCUACCUCUAGGGUUUCAGCGCAGCAUCAAGAUACGACUAAUAAUGGGUAACCCAAAGAUUCAUGUUAACAUUGUGGUUAUUGGUCAUGUUG
rnacentral:lncRNA from 1 species